GGGCCGUUAGCUCAGUUGGUAGAGCACCUGACUUUUAAUCAGGGUGUCACAGGUUCGAAUCCUGUACGGCCUACCA
rnacentral:tRNA from 1 species